rnacentral:rRNA from 1 species
GACGAACGCUGGCGGCGUGCCUAACACAUGCAAGUCGAACGGGACUCUUUGGAUCAAGGCUUCGGCCAAGUGAAUUUGAGUUUAGUGGCGAACGGGUGAGUAACGCGUGAGCAACCUGCCUUUCAGAGGGGGACAACAGUUGGAAACGACUGCUAAUACCGCAUAACACAACGAGGGGGCAUCCUCUUGUUGUCAAAGAUUUAUCGCUGAAAGAUGGGCUCGCGUCUGAUUAGCUGGUUGGUGAGGUAACGGCCCACCAAGGCGACGAUCAGUAGCCGGCCUGAGAGGGUGAACGGCCACAUUGGGACUGAGACACGGCCCAAACUCCUACGGGAGGCAGCAGUGGGGAAUAUUGGACAAUGGGGGAAACCCUGGAUCCAGCGACGCCGCGUGAGUGAAGAAGUAUUUCGGUAUGUAAAGCUCUAUCAGCAGGGAAGAAAUGACGGUACCUGACUAAGAAGCCCCGGCUAACUACGUG